rnacentral:lncRNA from 1 species
AGGGCAGAGCAGCCUUCCGUGUGCAUGUAUCGUGGAGAAAUGAGCAGUGGAGACUCCAACACCAGAGCUCCUCAAGUUCCAGCAAACCCGCAGUUCUUCUUGAUCCAGAGAUGUGCCAGACCCAGAGUACCACCUGCACCUGCUGGUGAGACUUUGGGGCUUGGAGAACAGUGGGGGAGGCUGGGGAGAGGGAAGCAACCUGGGGCUCUGUUCUUUUGAGGAUUGCAGCCUUGCUUCUUAGGCUUCUCUGAUGAGGUAGGUAGGGAGUCCACAGGAGACUGUGUGUGGUCAGGGCUGACCUCAGGUCACGUUGGGAAAUGAGUGAGAUUGUGGGAUGCAUGACUUUAAAGGUAGGGCAAUAUGAGUUCCAUCUUGAACACGACAGAUUUUGCUGCUGAGCCCUAUACAUGCACUGAGCUCCUAGCUUCUAGCCAUGGUGGUAGUCCUGCUAGCAUACACUCAGUGCCACUGUCUUAGGGGCUCACAGCACCUUUAUGCUGCCUCUGGGCUGCAGUAAGGGCAAGAAUAGAGCUAGAUAGAGGUGAAGACUUACCAGGUACAAGGUGCUGCCAGCAGAGGGCACUGCGGCCUCAUUUUGGACCCCAUUAGUCCCUUCCAACUUAUAUAAUCCUGUUUCUCAUCCCCACUCCUGUGUGUGUCUGUGUGUGUUUGUAUGUUUCAGGUGACCAGGAAUUACCUCUACGUCUGCCAUUCCCAGUUGGCGAUAGGCAGCAUCAAAUACAAGCCAUAGGGGGCUGCCAACAGUGUGAGAUGUUACAGAAGGAAAUAGAUGAACUCAAGGAACAACUCGGGCUGGCACUGCUGUGACCCAGCGUUUGAGGACUGCCUAUCCAUGCUGUUCUCCUGUAGAAAACGUUUGCACAUAGCGCUCGGUGAUGGGUGGGGGAGUGUGUCCCAACUCUGUCUGCUUGGGUGGGGGCUGGAGGGCAGUGAGGCGGCUGUCUGGAAUUUCCCCUGGAAUAUGGGUCUCAGGCGGGUGGGUUCCUAUGUGUCUGUUUCUGGAAUACCCAUUUGUACUUUUGUGUUUCAGCCUGUCAUGCAGGCCCUCAGUGAAACGUUCCAGGAUCCUUGAAGUGAGUGUCCUAUCGACAGC